rnacentral:rRNA from 1 species
CGGGUGAGUAACGCGUGAGGAACCUGCCUCAAAGAGGGGGACAACAGUUGGAAACGACUGCUAAUACCGCAUAAGCCCACGGCUCGGCAUCGAGCAGAGGGAAAGGGAGCAAUCCGCUUUGAGAUGGCCUCGCGUCCGAUUAGCUAGUUGGUGAGGUAACGGCCCACCAAGGCAACGAUCGGUAGCCGGACUGAGAGGUUGAACGGCCACAUUGGGACUGAGACACGGCCCAG